ACGCUGGCGGCAGGCCUAACACAUGCAAGUCGAGCGGUAACAGAAAGUAGCUUGCUACUUUGCUGACGAGCGGCGGACGGGUGAGUAAUGCCUGGGAAUAUGCCUUGAUGUGGGGGAUAACUAUUGGAAACGAUAGCUAAUACCGCAUAAUGUCUUCGGACCAAAGAGGGGGAUCUUCGGACCUCUCGCGUCAAGAUUAGCCCAGGUGAGAUUAGCUAGUUGGUGGGGUAAGAGCUCACCAAGGCGACGAUCUCUAGCUGGUCUGAGAGGAUGAUCAGCCACACUGGAACUGAGACACGGUCCAGACUCCUACGGGAGGCAGCAGUGGGGAAUAUUGCACAAUGGGCGAAAGCCUGAUGCAGCCAUGCCGCGUGUAUGAAGAAGGCCUUCGGGUUGUAAAGUACUUUCAGUCGUGAGGAAGGGUGUGCAGUUAAUAGCUGYAYAUCUUGACGUUAGCGACAGAAGAAGCACCGGCUAACUCCGUGCCAGCAGCCGCGGUAAUACGGAGGGUGCGAGCGUUAAUCGGAAUUACUGGGCGUAAAGCGCAUGCAGGUGGUUCAUUAAGUCAGAUGUGAAAGCCCGGGGCUCAACCUCGGAACCGCAUUUGAAACUGGUGAACUAGAGUGCUGUAGAGGGGGGUAGAAUUUCAGGUGUAGCGGUGAAAUGCGUAGAGAUCUGAAGGAAUACCAGUGGCGAAGGCGGCCCCCUGGACA
rnacentral:rRNA from 1 species